GACACACUAUCAUUAACUGAAUCCAUAGGUUAAUGAGGCGAACCGGGGGAACUGAAACAUCUAAGUACCCCGAGGAAAAGAAAUCAACCGAGAUUCCCCCAGUAGCGGCGAGCGAACGGGGAGGAGCCCAGAGCCUGAAUCAGUGUGUGUGUUAGUGGAAGCGUCUGGAAAGGCGCGCGAUACAGGGUGACAGCCCCGUACACAAAAAUGCACAUACUGUGAGCUCGAUGAGUAGGGCGGGACACGUGGUAUCCUGUCUGAAUAUGGGGGGACCAUCCUCCAAGGCUAAAUACUCCUGACUGACCGAUAGUGAACCAGUACCGUGAGGGAAAGGCGAAAAGAACCCCGGCGAGGGGAGUGAAAAAGAACCUGAAACCGUGUACGUACAAGCAGUGGGAGCCUCUUAAUGGGGUGACUGCGUACCUUUUGUAUAAUGGGUCAGCGACUUAUAUUCUGUAGCAAGGUUAACCGAAUAGGGGAGCCGAAGGGAAACCGAGUCUUAACUGGGCGUUAAGUUGCAGGGUAUAGACCCGAAACCCGGUGAUCUAGCCAUGGGCAGGUUGAAGGUUGGGUAACACUAACUGGAGGACCGAACCGACUAAUGUUGAAAAAUUAGCGGAUGACUUGUGGCUGGGGGUGAAAGGCCAAUCAAACCGGGAGAUAGCUGGUUCUCCCCGAAAGCUAUUUAGGUAGCGCCUCGUGAAUUCAUCUCCGGGGGUAGAGCACUGUUUCGGCAAGGGGGUCAUCCCGACUUACCAACCCGAUGCAAACUGCGAAUACCGGAGAAUGUUAUCACGGGAGACACACGGCGGGUGCUAACGUCCGUCGUGAAGAGGGAAACAACCCAGACCGCCAGCUAAGGUCCCAAAGUCAUGGUUAAGUGGGAAACGAUGUGGGAAGGCCCAGACAGCCAGGAUGUUGGCUUAGAAGCAGCCAUCAUUUAAAGAAAGCGUAAUAGCUCACUGGUCGAGUCGGCCUGCGCGGAAGAUGUAACGGGGCUAAACCAUGCACCGAAGCUGCGGCAGCGACACUAUGUGUUGUUGGGUAGGGGAGCGUUCUGUAAGCCUGUGAAGGUGUACUGUGAGGUAUGCUGGAGGUAUCAGAAGUGCGAAUGCUGACAUAAGUAACGAUAAAGCGGGUGAAAAGCCCGCUCGCCGGAAGACCAAGGGUUCCUGUCCAACGUUAAUCGGGGCAGGGUGAGUCGACCCCUAAGGCGAGGCCGAAAGGCGUAGUCGAUGGGAAACAGGUUAAUAUUCCUGUACUUGGUGUUACUGCGAAGGGGGGACGGAGAAGGCUAUGUUGGCCGGGCGACGGUUGUCCCGGUUUAAGCGUGUAGGCUGGUUUUCCAGGCAAAUCCGGAAAAUCAAGGCUGAGGCGUGAUGACGAGGCACUACGGUGCUGAAGCGACAAAUGCCCUGCUUCCAGGAAAAGCCUCUAAGCAUCAGGUAACAUCAAAUCGUACCCCAAACCGACACAGGUGGUCAGGUAGAGAAUACCAAGGCGCUUGAGAGAACUCGGGUGAAGGAACUAGGCAAAAUGGUGCCGUAACUUCGGGAGAAGGCACGCUGAUAUGUAGGUGAAGCGACUUGCUCGUGGAGCUGAAAUCAGUCGAAGAUACCAGCUGGCUGCAACUGUUUAUUAAAAACACAGCACUGUGCAAACACGAAAGUGGACGUAUACGGUGUGACGCCUGCCCGGUGCCGGAAGGUUAAUUGAUGGGGUUAGCGGUAACGCGAAGCUCUUGAUCGAAGCCCCGGUAAACGGCGGCCGUAACUAUAACGGUCCUAAGGUAGCGAAAUUCCUUGUCGGGUAAGUUCCGACCUGCACGAAUGGCGUAAUGAUGGCCAGGCUGUCUCCACCCGAGACUCAGUGAAAUUGAACUCGCUGUGAAGAUGCAGUGUACCCGCGGCAAGACGGAAAGACCCCGUGAACCUUUACUAUAGCUUGACACUGAACAUUGAGCCUUGAUGUGUAGGAUAGGUGGGAGGCUUUGAAGUGUGGACGCCAGUCUGCAUGGAGCCGACCUUGAAAUACCACCCUUUAAUGUUUGAUGUUCUAACGUGGGCCCCUUACCGGGGUUGCGGACAGUGUCUGGUGGGUAGUUUGACUGGGGCGGUCUCCUCCUAAAGAGUAACGGAGGAGCACGAAGGUUGGCUAAUCCUGGUCGGACAUCAGGAGGUUAGUGCAAUGGCAUAAGCCAGCUUGACUGCGAGCGUGACGGCGCGAGCAGGUGCGAAAGCAGGUCAUAGUGAUCCGGUGGUUCUGAAUGGAAGGGCCAUCGCUCAACGGAUAAAAGGUACUCCGGGGAUAACAGGCUGAUACCGCCCAAGAGUUCAUAUCGACGGCGGUGUUUGGCACCUCGAUGUCGGCUCAUCACAUCCUGGGGCUGAAGUAGGUCCCAAGGGUAUGGCUGUUCGCCAUUUAAAGUGGUACGCGAGCUGGGUUUAGAACGUCGUGAGACAGUUCGGUCCCUAUCUGCCGUGGGCGCUGGAGAACUGAGGGGGGCUGCUCCUAGUACGAGAGGACCGGAGUGGACGCAUCACUGGUGUUCGGGUUGUCAUGCCAAUGGCACUGCCCGGUAGCUAAAUGCGGAAGAGAUAAGUGCUGAAAGCAUCUAAGCACGAAACUUGCCCCGAGAUGAGUUCUCCCUGACUCCUUGAGAGUCCUGAAGGAACGUUGAAGACGACGACGUUGAUAGGCCGGGUGUGUAAGCGCAGCGAUGCGUUGAGCUAACCGGUACUAAUGAACCGUGAGGCUUAACCUU
rnacentral:rRNA from 1 species